CCCUCCACUGGGAGGUUCAAAGUAAAAUUUUAACCAUCAAAUACCAACAAAAGCACUGGUUAUAAAAUGGGAUCAGAUGGACCCCUUGAAUGCCAAGAGACUCAGCUUCCAAUAACAGUAACAGGUCAUCGAAUAGCUACCCCAGCUGGACCAAACCUCUUCUCCCUCUCUUCCUGUUGGAAUUCUGAAAAUGAAGAUGCCCCUGUGGCUGUGGGUUGUUUGGCUAAGGAUUUUCUACCUGAUUCCAUUAAAUUUUCCUGGAAAUACCAAAACCAAAGUGCUGUGAGUAACACAAAUUUAAAGAUCUUCCCAACCCUUAUGAGCGGAAGCACAUACACAGCCACCUCACAAGUGAUCCUCCCUGCCAAUGAUGUCUUCCAAGGACAAGAUAGCUACUUGGUAUGUAAGACCCAACAUCUCAAUGCUGAGAAGGAAAUUCAAGUUCCACUACCAGAUCGCACCGUCAGUUCCCCUAAUGUGACUGUGUAUAUCCCACCCCGUGAUGCAUUCUCCAGCUCUAGCUUAAGAACAUCCAAGCUCAUCUGUCAAGUCACCAACUUCAGGCCAAACAAGAUCAAGUUAACAUGGCUUCGAGAGAACAGUCCAGUUGUGUCAGGUGUUUCUACAGGUCAAGUCCUGCCUGAAGGCUCUGGGACCUACCACCUGCAGAGCAGCCUAACUAUCAGUGAGAAUGACUGGCUCAGCCAAAGCACAUUCACCUGCCAAGUUAAUCAUGAAGGGGUCCAAUUCCAGAAAAAUGUUUCCUCAACCUGUUUUAGCAGUGGCCCAGAAUCACCCAUUGAAGUCUUUACCAUCCCCCCCUCCUUUGCAAGCAUCUUUACUACCAAAUCAGCCAAAUUAACCUGUGUAGUCACAAACAUUCCCAACAUUCAAAAUCUGAAUAUUUCCUGGACCGAUGAGAAUGGACAGUUUCUGGAAACUAUCAUUAAGACAGACUUCAGCCACUCCAGUAGUGUUAAGGGAGAAGCCACAGUCUGUGCAGAAGACUGGAAUUCAGGGAAAAAAUUCAAAUGCACCGUGAUCCAUCCUAAUCAUCCUGUUCCCUUGAAGAAAGAAAUCUUUAAGCAACAAGGGGUUGCCCAGCGUGCACCAGCUGUCUAUCUGUUGCCUCCAACUCCUGAGGAGCUGAACCUGAGGGAAGCAGCUACCCUAACCUGCCUGAUGAAGGACUUCUCCCCAGCAGAUGUGUUUGUCCAGUGGCUGCACAAAGGACAGCCUAUACCCUCAGAGAAAUAUGUCACCAGCAGCCCCCAGCAAGAACCCCAGAAAGCCGGUCUCUACUUCUCCCACAGCACCCUGACAGUGUCUGAGGAACACUGGAAUGCAGGGGAUUCCUACACCUGUGUGGUGGUUCAUGAAGCACUGCCCUUGUCCGUGACUGAGAAGACCGUGGACAAGUCCACCGAAGCGAAAGUGAAUGCUGAAGAAGAGGGAUUUGAGAACCUGUGGACAACAGCCUCUACUUUCAUUGUCCUCUUCCUGCUGAGUCUCUUUUACAGUACAACAGUCACUUUGUUCAAGGUAAAAUAAAUUCAUGUUUGAAAGACAAACAUCUGAAAACAAAGAGCUUGGACCAAAAGAAGGAAUAAUUCCCUGGAGGCCUGAACCAUGUUCCCCUUGCUGACUGAUGCAAUUCAUGCUUUCGACAAUGCUUGGAAAUGCAAGAGACUCCUAAAUUUGUGGGGGUUGGUGGAAAGGGAAGGGGGAAGGACUUAUCUUUUGACUUCCAGAUGGUCUUCCCACAUCCUCAUAUUAUUUUACGUAAAACUCACCUCCUGCAACCUCUCUUAUGUCCUCUGUCCUAAAAUUAGGAUUUAAAAGAAAAAAUGUAUAUUUCUUAAA